GGCUGCGUGGCCCAGUGGUUAAGGCAUCUGCUUUACAAAGAAAUUACCCAAUAGGGUUCUUUAUAAAGAAAUUACCCAAUAGGGUUCUUUAUUCGCAGAGGAUCGCAGGUUCGAGCCCUGCCGCGGUCA